rnacentral:rRNA from 1 species
AUACGUAGGGGGCAAGCGUUAUCCGGAUUUACUGGGUGUAAAGGGAGCGCAGACGGAAUGGCAAGUCUGAUGUGAAAGGCCGGGGCUCAACCCCGGGACUGCAUUGGACACUGCUAGGCUAGAGUGCAGGUGGGGUAAGCGGAAUGCCUAGUGUAGCGGUGAAAUGCGUAGAUAUUAGGCGGAACACCGGUGGCGAAGGCGGCUUACUGGACUGUAACUGACGUUGAGGCUCGAAAGCGUGGGGAGCGAACAGGAUGGGAUACCCUGGUAGGCCACGCCGUAAACGAUGAAUGCUAGGUGUUGGGUUCCAAUAGGGAUUCGGUGCCGCAGCUAACGCAAUAAGUAUUCCACCUGGGGAGUACGUUCGCAAGAAUGAAACUCAAAUGAAUUGACGGGG